rnacentral:lncRNA from 1 species
AGCACUUUAAUCCCUGAAGUUAUAGUAGUAUUAUAUUUUGUUUAAUUGCACUUUAGUCAUCUUUGUAUGAGCUGGCAUAGCUCUGUCAGAAGCAGUAGUAGGUGAGGACACUGUUGCAAGCAUACUCUAUGAAUCAGCUAGGGUUGUGGUCCUAUAUAUAUUGUACUGAUGAAAAUGAAAUGAGAUUAUCUUGUUUUGCCAUAUAUCUCUUAGUUGUAAGUUAGCUUAGCAACUAGUUGUCUUCCUCAUUUUCUAUUCCCUGAAUUUCCCCUUUUUCUACUGUUCCAUUGAUUAUUGUUCAUCAAUAUUACUGUUCCAUUGAAUCUGCAUUAUACAUUGUUGCGUAACAGGGGAUUUCCCGUGGAGUUCUUUCCGGUUUUAUUUGCAAUCCCUCGCAUGGCUGACUACUUGUCACAUUAUAUUGUUGCGAGUCCCUUGACGAUCCUGAUACCAAGAUAAUGAGACCAGCACAUGAGGUAACUUAACUAUGGGCAAGCGCAAAUCAGUCUACUUAUGAGCGUGUACUAACUAGUGUUUGAAUAGAAUGCACACCUCGUCUCAUGAUUUGCAUUUGCACACAUCGUCUCAUUGAUCAUAACAGAAGUAACAGAGAGUGGUGGAGACAUCUAUACUCCAUCUGGGAACCCUGUAGCUUGGAUGAAUCAGAACUAUCGAAUGCAACAAUCACCAGGAAUGAAUCCUUUGGGGUGGGGGUCUGUGCCUCCUUUUCAAGCUAAUAUGGAAACAACCACACCUCAAGGACAUGCUUCACAAGGGAUGAAUCAAGGACCACAUGUUGCAGGUCCUCAGGGAGGGGUAUCAUUUGGAGCAUCACCUGGAAACUGCUCAGGAAACCAAUCAAUGACCAGGUUCACCAAAAUGGAAUUUCCUAGGUUUAAUGGAACUAACCUUAGAGCAUGGUUGUGUAAGGUGGAACAAUACUUUUCGAUGGAUGAAGUAGCUUAUAAUCAGAAGGUUAAGGUAGCAUCCAUUCAUUUUGAUGAUAUAGCUAUAGAAUUAUUCAUUUUGAUGAUAUAGCUAUAAAAUGGCAUCUGGCUUAUUUGAAAAGUAGAUCUCACUUACCUUACCCUGCUUGGGAGGAGUAUGUUUAUGCUCUAAUGGACAGAUUUGGGGCUGAGUAUACUGAUCCUAUGUCUGAACUUAAACUAGUCAAGCAGGUUGGUAUGGUUGAUGAGUAUCAAAAGGAGUUUGAUAGGAUUAUGACCAGAUUGGUUAUUCUCCCUGAGUAUGCUAUUAGUGCUUUUAUCACUGGUUUGAAACCUGAGAUUGGAUUUACUGUUAAGAAUCAUAGGCCCUGUUCCUUACCACAAGCUUACCAGUUAGCAAGAAACACUGAGGCUCAGGUAAAUGCCCAGUUGAAGUUGACUAGAUCAUCUCUAUAUGUUGCAGGGGGUUCUCAGUCAAGGGCAGGGAACUAUAAUUCAUUUUCCAAGGGAGCAGGAGGCAGAGAACUAUAAUUCAUUUUCCAAGGGAGCAGGAAGCAAACGAGAAGGCCAACCAUUUAAGGACUCAUCUGUGAGUCUGAACAGGAAGACUUCAAGAAGGCUCACACCUACUGAGAUGAGUGAGAAAAGGCAGAAGGGUCUGUGUUUCUUCUGUGAUGAGAAGUUUGUGCCUGGUCAUAAGUGCAGCUCUAACAAACAACUAUAUUUGUUAGAGGUGGCUGAAGAUGGGGAGGAAGACCAAAUGUUAGAAGUGCAGGAGGAUCAUGAUAACUAUGAAGAGGAUGAGGGACAUGAACAGAAUUGUGAAAUAUCUGUACAUGCUCUUAAUGGAAUCUAUGGGUUCAAUACACUUAGAAUCAUGGGCUAUACUAAGGAUGGUCCUCUAAACAUAUUGGUUGACCCUGGAAGCUCACAUAAUUUUAUUGAUGAUAGGCUGAUUAAGAAGUUGCAGGGAGAUACACAAUUGAUCAAACCAUAGUAUGUGAAUGUAGCUGAUGGUGGCAAUAGACAGACUAAUGAGGUUUGUAGAAACUUCAUUUGGAUGAUGCAAGGGCUCACAUUCCAGGAUGACUUUUUGUUGCUGUCACUAGGUUCUUGCGAUAUGAUUUUGGGGGUUCAGUGGUUGCUUCCUCUAGGAGACAUCAAACUCAACUUCCAGAAGUUAACGUUGGGGUUCUGGUAUCAAGGCAAGGAAGUGGUAAUACAAGGUACUAGAGAGAAAACUAGAAUUGUGGAGGCCAAGAAGUUGGACAAGCUAGCCCAAAAUGGCUGUCAACUUUUCAUGAUCAGGGUAUUGCCAACUGAUCAGGAACAACGAGAGGAACCACAGGCCGAUGCUAGUGCUAAUCCUAUCUUGGAAUUAACUAAGGAGUUUCAGAUACUCUUUCAGGAUCCCAAGGGCUUGCCACCUCAUAGAGGAGUGUUUGACCACAAGAUUCCCUUGCAGCAAGGUAGCAAUCCAGUCAAUGCUAGGUGUUAUAGGUACUCAUCAGGACAGAAAGAUGUCCUUGAUCAGAUGGUGCAAGAAAUGUUGGAUCAAGGCAUUGUGCGGCCAAGCUCUAGUCCUUAUGCUUCACCAGUGGUAUUGGUAGGGAAGAAAGAUGGGUCUUGGAGGUUGUGUGUAGAUUAUAGGGCACUCAACAAGAUGACUAUCAAAGAUAAAUUUCCCAUCCCCAUUAUCGAAGAGUUGUUAGAUGAACUUGGUGGUUCACGGAUCUACUCUAAACUAGAUCUUAGCUCUGGCUAUCAUCAGAUUAGGAUGACAAGGGAAGAUGUACAGAAGACUGCUUUCAGGACACAUGCUGGACACUAUGAGUAUUUAGUGAUGCCCUUUGGUCUCACUAAUGCACCUUCUAGUUUUCAAGGGUUAAUGAACCAUGUGUUCAAAGAUUACCUAAGGAAGUUUAUUUUGGUAUUUUUUGAUGACAUUUUGGUUUACAGCAGGAGCUUGGAAGAACAUUUGCAGCAUUUGAGAAUCACUUUCAACUUGCUGGUACAACAUAAGUUGUUUAUGAGGAAGGCUAAAUGCUCAUUUGGGGCAACAAGGGUGGAGUACUUUGGUCAUUUCAUCUCUGCUGAGGGUGUAGCUACUGAUCCAAAAAAGAUAGAAGCUGUUAAAAAUUGGCCAAUACCUAAAACACUAAAGGAGUUGAGGGGUUUUCUUGGAUUAACUGGUUACUAUAGGAGGUUCAUCAAAGGUUAUGGGGUCAUUAGCAAGCCGUUGACUGAUCUUUUGAAGAAGGAGGGGUAUCAUUGGAGUGACAAGGCUACUGCAGCUGUUGAGAAGUUGAAAUUAGCACUGGUAAGUGCUCCUGUGCUAGCUUUGCCUAAUAGUACAUUGAUGUUUGUAGUUGAAACAAAUGCAUGUGACUACGGUAUAGGGGCAGUAUUGAUGCAGGAUGGACAUCCAUUGGCUUAUUUGAGCAAGGGGCUCUCUGCAAGGCAUCAAGGUUUAUCUGUGUAUGACAAAAAGCUAUUAGUUUUAGUCAUGGCCGUGACUAAGUGGUCACAAUAUCUGCUGGGAAGACAUUUUUUAAUCAGAACAGAUCAAAAAGCAUUGAAGUUUUUACUGGAGCAAAAACUUCAUACUGGGACUCAGAUGAAAUGGAUAGCAAAAUUGAUGCAGUUUGAUUUUGAAAUAGAGUAUAAGAAGGGAAGGGAAAAUAAGGCUGCCGAUUCUCUAUCAAGACAAGUGAAUACUGAAUUGCUAAUGAUUUCAGUAGCACCUGCAGAUCACACUUUGCUUCAUAGGAUCAUGGAACUUUGGAACAAAGACCAAGAGCUUAGAUCUCUUAUUCAGAAGCUGGAGGAGCAAGGUGAAACAGUAAAGGGAUACACUUACACCAACCAACAACUAAGGAAGUAUGGUAAGCUGGUUAUUGGAGCAGAUGCACAGCUAAGGAAGGACAUCAUGCAACUGUGGCAUGAUAACACUAAUGGGGGGCACUCAGGAAUGGAGAAUACCUACAGAAGGCUGGCUACUCUUUUCUAUUGGAAGAAUCUCAGAGAAGAUGUAAAUGAAUAUGUUAGGAAGUGCUCAGUUUGUCAAAGAAGUAAGUAUGAUGCCUCAGCAACUCCGGGCCUCUUACAACCUUUGGCUAUUCCCAAGACCUCAUGGUCUUGCAUAAGCAUGGACUUCAUUGAUGGCCUUCCAAAGUCUAAGGGGAAAACCACCAUCCUUGUGGUGGUAGACAGAUUGACCAAGUAUGGCCAUUUUAUGGCACUCAGCCAUCCUUACACGGCUGUUUCUGUGGCUCAAACAUUCAUGGACCAGGUGUUCAAACUCCAUGGCAUGCCAGAAAAUAUUGUGAGUGAUAGGGAUCCCAUAUUUUUGAGUAGGUUUUGGCAAGAACUGUUUUCAUUACAAGGAGUAACAUUGAGCACAUCUUCAGCUUACCAUCCACAAACAGAUGGUCAAACUGAAGUCCUUAACAGGACAUUGGAGACUUAUUUAAGGUGCUAUUGCUCAGAUAGUCAGCAUGACUGGGCUUUAUACUUGCCACUAGCAGAAUGGUGGUAUAAUUCCACCUACCAGUCAGCUAUACAAACCACCCCUUAUGAAGCACUAUAUGGUCAAGCUCCACCUAUCCAUUUGCCAUAUCUACCAGGGGAAGCUAUUGAAGAAGAAGAAGUGGAUAAGAGUCUGAUCACCAGAGAAUUUACCAUUUUAUGGCACUCAACCAUCCUUACACGGCUGUUUCUAUGGCUCAAACAUUCAUGGACCAGGUGUUCAAACUCCAUGGCAUGCUAGAAAAUAUUGUGAGUGAUAGGGAUCCCAUAUUUUUGAGUAGGUUUUGGCAAGAACUGUUUUCAUUACAUGGAGUAACAUUGAGCACAUCUUCAGCUUACCAUCCACAAACAGAUGGUCAAACUGAAGUCCUUAACAGGAUAUUGGAGACUUAUUUAAGGUGAUAUUGCUCAGAUAGUCAGCAUGACUGGGCUUUAUACUUGCCACUAGCAGAAUGGUGGUAUAAUUCCACCUACUAGUCAGCUAUACAAACCACCCCUUAUGAAGCACUAUAUAGGUCAAGCUCCACCUAUCCAUUUGCCAUAUCUACCAGGGGAAGCUAUUGAAGAAGAAGUGGAUAAGAGUCUGAUCACCAGAGAAUUUAAGGCUCAAUUUCCAUCUACACAGAGCUCAACAAAGGAUGCAGUCUUUAGCUAACAAACAUAAAAGUGAUAGGCAAUUGAAGGUAGGGGAUUGGGUGUAUUUGAAGAUUCAGCCCUAUAGACAAGUGACAGUGUCUCAACAAGCAUUCAAUAAACUGUCAGCAAAGUUUUAUGGACCCUAUCAGAUCUUAGAAAAGAUUGGAACAGUAGCAUACAAGCUAUCUCUACCAGCUCAUGUCGCCAUCCAUCCCACUAUACAUGUGUCUCAGUUGAAGUUAUGCCAUCAACUACCAGACACUACCCAUCAUCCACCAAUCAUUGACAUAGCAAGCCCCUUUUGUGUGGAGCCCCAGAGCAUUGAAGGAAGAAGAAUGAUUAAGAAAGGAAAUAAGGCAGUGGUUCAGGUUCUGAUUCAGUGGAAGGAGAUGUCCAAAGAGCAAGCUACAUGGGAAGAUUUUACGGCUAUGAAGAUCAGGUUCCCAGAGUUCUUCCUUGAGGACAAGGAAGUUCGUAAGGAUGGAGGAAUGAUGCAGAAUGAAAGUGGCUGAAGUUGUUAAGUUAGCACUUUAAUCCCUGAAGUAGUAGUAUUAUAUUUUGUUUAAUUGCACUUUAGUCAUCUUUGUAUGAGCUGGCAUAGCUCUGUCAGAAGCAGUAGUAGGUGAGGACACUGUUGCAAGCAUACUCUAUGAAUCAGCUAGGGUUGUGGUCCUAUAUAUAUUGUACUGAUGAAAAUGAAAUGGGAUUAUCUUGUUUUGCC